rnacentral:rRNA from 1 species
UACGUAGGUGGCAAGCGUUGUCCGGAUUUACUGGGCGUAAAGCGUGCGCAGGCGGUUUGUUAAGUCUGUUGUGAAAUCCCCGGGCUUAACCUGGGAAUUGCGCUUGAAACUAGCGGGCUUGAGUGUGGCAGAGGGGGGUGGAAUUCCACGUGUAGCAGUGAAAUGCGUAGAGAUGUGGAGGAACACCGAUGGCGAAGGCAGCCCCCUGGGUCAACACUGACGCUCAUGCACGAAAGCGUGGGGAGCAAACAGG